rnacentral:rRNA from 1 species
CUCGUAGGCGGUCCGUUGCGUCUGCCGUGAAAACCCGGGGCUCAACCCCGGGCCUGCGGUGGAUACGGGCGGACUAGAGUCCGGUAGGGGAGACUGGAAUUCCUGGUGUAGCGGUGGAAUGCGCAGAUAUCAGGAGGAACACCGGUGGCGAAGGCGGGUCUCUGGGCCGGAACUGACGCUGAGGAGCGAAAGCGUGGGGAGCGAACA